ACUUUAGUGUUGUUGGGUAGGGGAGCGUUCUGUAAGCCGUUGAAGGUGUCCUGUGAGGGGUGCUGGAGGUAUCAGAAGUGCGAAUGCUGACAUAAGUAACGAUAAAGCGGGUGAAAAGCCCGCUCGCCGGAAGACCAAGGGUUCCUGUCCAACGUUAAUCGGGGCAGGGUGAGUCGACCCCUAAGGCGAGGCCGAAAGGCGUAGUCGAUGGGAAACGGGUUAAUAUUCCCGUACUUGGUGUUACUGCGAAGGGGGGACGGAGAAGGCUAUGUUGGCCGGGCGACGGUAGUCCCGGUUUAAGCGUGUAGGUGUGUGUUCCAGGCAAAUCCGGUUCACUUUAACACUGAGGCGUGAUGACGAGGCACCACGGUGCUGAAGCAACAAAUGCCCUGCUUCCAGGAAAAGCCUCUAAGCAUCAGGUAACAUCAAAUCGUACCCCAAACCGACACAGGUGGUCAGGUAGAGAAUACCAAGGCGCUUGAGAGAACUCGGGUGAAGGAACUAGGCAAAAUGGUGCCGUAACUUCGGGAGAAGGCACGCUGACACGUAGGUGAAGUGAUUUACUCAUGGAGCUGAAGUCAGUCGAAGAUACCAGCUGGCUGCAACUGUUUAUUAAAAACACAGCACUGUGCAAACACGAAAGUGGACGUAUACGGUGUGACGCCUGCCCGGUGCCGGAAGGUUAAUUGAUGGGGUCAGCGCAAGCGAAGCUCCUGAUCGAAGCCCCGGUAAACGGCGGCCGUAACUAUAACGGUCCUAAGGUAGCGAAAUUCCUUGUCGGGUAAGUUCCGACCUGCACGAAUGGCGUAAUGAUGGCCAGGCUGUCUCCACCCGAGACUCAGUGAAAUUGAACUCGCUGUGAAGAUGCAGUGUACCCGCGGCAAGACGGAAAGACCCCGUGAACCUUUACUAUAGCUUGACACUGAACAUUGAGCCUUGAUGUGUAGGAUAGGUGGGAGGCUUUGAAGCGUGGACGCCAGUCUGCGUGGAGCCGACCUUGAAAUACCACCCUUUAAUGUUUGAUGUUCUAACGUGGACCCGUAAUCCGGGUUGCGGACAGUGUCUGGUGGGUAGUUUGACUGGGGCGGUCUCCUCCUAAAGAGUAACGGAGGAGCACGAAGGUUGGCUAAUCCUGGUCGGACAUCAGGAGGUUAGUGCAAUGGCAUAAGCCAGCUUGACUGCGAGCGUGACGGCGCGAGCAGGUGCGAAAGCAGGUCAUAGUGAUCCGGUGGUUCUGAAUGGAAGGGCCAUCGCUCAACGGAUAAAAGGUACUCCGGGGAUAACAGGCUGAUACCGCCCAAGAGUUCAUAUCGACGGCGGUGUUUGGCACCUCGAUGUCGGCUCAUCACAUCCUGGGGCUGAAGUAGGUCCCAAGGGUAUGGCUGUUCGCCAUUUAAAGUGGUACGCGAGCUGGGUUUAGAACGUCGUGAGACAGUUCGGUCCCUAUCUGCCGUGGGCGCUGGAAGACUGAGGGGGGCUGCUCCUAGUACGAGAGGACCGGAGUGGACGCAUCACUGGUGUUCGGGUUGUCAUGCCAAUGGCACUGCCCGGUAGCUAAAUGCGGAAAAGAUAAGUGCUGAAAGCAUCUAAGCACGAAACUUGCCCCGAGAUGAGUCUUCCCUGAGACUUUGAGUCUCCUGAAGGAACGUUAAAGACGAUGACGUUGAUAGGCCGGGUGUGUAAGCGCAGCGAUGCGUUGAGCUAACCGGUACUAAUGAACCGUGAGGCUUAACCUUACAACGCCGAAGGUGUUU
rnacentral:rRNA from 1 species